rnacentral:rRNA from 1 species
GACGAACGCUGGCGGCGUGCCUAAUACAUGCAAGUCGAGCGAAUUUACGAGAGCUUGCUCUCGUAAAUUAGCGGCGGACGGGUGAGUAACACGUGGGCAACCUGCCUAUAAGACUGGGAUAACUUCGGGAAACCGGAGCUAAUACCGGAUAAUUCACAUCUACUCAUGUAGAUGUGCUGAAAGACGGUUUCGGCUGUCACUUAUAGAUGGGCCCGCGGCGCAUUAGCUAGUUGGUGAGGUAACGGCUGACCAAGGCCACGGUGCGUAGCCGACCUGAGAGGGUGAUCGGCCACACUGGGACUGAGACACGGCCCAGACUCCUACGGGAGGCAGCAGUAGGGAAUCUUCCGCAAUGGACGAAAGUCUGACGGAGCAACGCCGCGUGAGUGAUGAAGGUUUUCGGAUCGUAAAACUCUGUUGUUAGGGAAGAACAAGUACCAGAGUAACUGCUGGUACCUUGACGGUACCUAACCAGAAAGCCACGGCUAACUACGUGCCAGCCGCCGCCGUAA